UCCAGUCUAAAACAAGCCCAACAUUUAGAACAAGAACAACAGAAAUUAAGCCAACAACAUUUGGAAGAGGAAAAUACAAGUCUGUUGGAUAAAUAUCAACAAAUGUUUUUAGAUUCCCAGGAUUCUAAUGCCGAGAUUGAAAAAUUAGAAAAAGAUAGUGAAAAACUUGAAGAAUCCCGUAACGAGGUCCACAAUUUAGAAAAUGAUAGUGAAAAACUUAAAGAAUCUCGUCGAAAGGUGAAAAAUUUGUAAGUUUGUGUUCCAAUUGUUAAUGAAUUUUUUUUGAAUAAUUGAAAAUUUUCUAUUUGAAAUAGACAAAAAACGAUAGCAAGACUUAAUGAAAAACUUGAAAAAUCAGAAUCUCUUGAGGAGAU